GAGCUGUCAGAAUCCUGCCCUUCCUUCUGUCUCCAGAUCAAAGUCCUUCAGGAAAUGCAACUACUUCAGUGACAAGAGAUAAUUAUCAUCUUCUGACAGAGGAGGAAUUUGGGGUUUGGUCCCAGUCCAUGAAGUGGCACAGUCAGAAUAAAAGUGGCGGGAGCGUCCCCGUGAGAGGCCCGACCCAGGUGUGGGCCACGCUGGGAGCCCAAGGACCAAGCGGCGCUCCUGGGAUGCAGAGGAGGAUUUGUGACAGCUUAGGGAACAGACAAAAUGGUUUCGAAAAGGCUAAUGGCAGUCCCGAACUGACAGCCACAAGUGGCACCUGAACAGGGACUUGAACAAAGAAAGUCUGCUGGAGCAGAAAAAGUGAAACUGACCAGAUGAACGAGAAACCCUGGGAUGAGUCUGCCUACAGAGGAUAUAAGGUCAGUGUCCUAAAGAGGUACUGGGAGUGGGACGUUUCUGAAUCAGGGUAAUGUGGGGCAGAAUUUAUCUAUUGAGGAGCAGCAUUAUGUGCAGUUGCUUAAAGUUUUACUUAAACAAUCUGGUGCUCAGGUUAGUUCUGAAACACUGAUCAAGCUGCUGCAGGAGGUUAUCACGCAUAACCCCUCAUUUCUGCAGACAGGCGCUGUUGAUGUGGAAAAUUGGAACCGAGUAGGG
rnacentral:lncRNA from 1 species